UGAGGAAUAUUGGUCAAUGGUCGGAAGACUGAACCAGCCAUGCCGCGUGAAGGCGACGGCCCUAUGGGUCUUAAACUUCUUUUGUCUGGGAGCAAUAAGGUGUUCGUGAACACCGAUGAGAGUACCAGACGAAUAAGCAUCGGCUAACUCCGUGCCAGCAGCCGCGGUAAUACGGAGGAUGCGAGCGUUAUCCGGAUUUAUUGGGUUUAAAGGGUGCGCAGGCGGCGCGCCAAGUCAGCGGUCAAAGUUCCGGGCUCAACCCGGUGUCGCCGUUGAAACUGGCGUGCUCGAGUGCGUGCGAGGAAGGCGGAAUGCGUUGUGUAGCGGUGAAAUGCAUAGAUAUGACGCAGAACUCCGAUUGCGAAGGCAGCUUUCCAGCGCGCUACUGACGCUGAGGCACGAAAGCGUGGGGAUCGAACAGGAUUAGAUACCCUGGUAGU
rnacentral:rRNA from 1 species